rnacentral:rRNA from 1 species
UACGGGGGGAGCAAGCGUUGUUCGGAUUCAUUGGGCGUAAAGGGCGCGUAGGCGGCUUGGCAAGUCCGACAUGAAAUGUACCGGUUCAACCGGGGCACUGUGUCGGAAACUGCCUGGCUUGAGGUCGAGGGAGGAGAGUGGAAUUCCUGGUGUAGCGGUGAAAUGCGUAGAUAUCAGGAAGAACACCCGUGGCUAAGGCGGUUCUCUAGUACGGUACUGACGCUGAGACGCGAAAGCGUGGGGAGCGAACAGG